GCGGUUCUGCUUCUCGGCGGCCUUGUGUGCCUGGAG
rnacentral:SRP_RNA from 1 species